rnacentral:tRNA from 1 species
CUCGGCGCGGAGCGGUGGUGGCUCGCCUGCCUGAUCGGCGUGCCGCUGAGCCUCGUGGCGGCGGCGGCGUUCCACGCGCUCGUGGAGC